UGCGUAGGCGGCUUAUUAAGUCAGUGGUGAAAUCUCUCGGCUCAACCGAGAAACUGCCAUUGAAACUGAUAAGCUUGAGUGUAGUUGUAGUAGGCGGAAUAUAGCAUGUAGCGGUGAAAUGCUUAGAUAUGCUAUAGAACACCGAUCGCGAAGGCAGCUUACUAAACUAUUACUGACGCUCAUGCACGAAAGCGUGGGGAGCAAACAGGAUUAGAUACCCUGGUAGUCC
rnacentral:rRNA from 1 species